UGGAGCUUUGUCCACAGACCCUCACCGCCCAACCUUGCUGCUUACUUUUCAGAUCAUUGUUUAGAAUUAGGGAAUGUAACUAUAUAAUUAGGCUCUUUCCCUUCUCCAAGAUAUUGCUGUGGAAGGAAUCUACUUCAAUAAAACUGGAUGAGGAAGGAGGGGGAAAGAUGGACAGAUGUUGGAUCCCAGAUUAUUGCUGAGGAAAAACUCCCCUUCCCCCUCACAAAAGGUGCAUUGCCAACAAUUUUGGUCUCGAAGCCGCUGCGAAGCACCCUUUCGCCUCCAGGAGGGGGCUGGCAGAAUCGACGGUCUAAGCUCCCACACCUCCCCUCAGUGCCCUCCUUCUCUGGCCUCCAGGAUACUACAAAACACCUACUUGCUACCGGGAGGAGGC